rnacentral:rRNA from 1 species
UACGUAGGGGGCUAGCGUUGUCCGGAUUUAUUGGGCGUAAAGAGCUCGUAGGCGGUCUGUCGCGUCGGCUGUGAAAACUCGGGGCUCAACCCCGAGCCUGCAGUCGAUACGGGCAGACUAGAGUGCUGUAGGGGAGACUGGAAUUCCUGGUGUAGCGGUGAAAUGCGCAGAUAUCAGGAGGAACACCGGUGGCGAAGGCGGGUCUCUGGGCAGUAACUGACGCUGAGGAGCGAAAGCGUGGGGAGCGAACAGG